rnacentral:rRNA from 1 species
GGACCCGCACAAGCGGUGGAGCAUGUGGUUUAAUUCGACGCAACGCGAAGAACCUUACCAGGGCUUGACAUCUUCCGCAAUCUUAGGAAACUAGGAGUUCUGUCCUUCGGGACGGACGGAAAGACAGGUGGUGCAUGGUUGUCGUCAGCUCGUGUCGUGAGAUGUUGGGUUAAGUCCCGCAACGAGCGCAACCCCUACUUUUAGUUGCCAGCAGGUAAAGCUGGGCACUCUAGAGGAACUGCCGGUGACAAACCGGAGGAAGGUGGGGAUGACGUCAAAUCAUCAUGCCCUUUAUGUCCUGGGCUACACACGUGCUACAAUGGCCGGUACAGAGGGCAGCUAAGCCGCGAGGUGGAGCGAAUCCCAAAAAGCCGGUCUCAGUUCGGAUUGCAGUCUGCAACUCGACUGCAUGAAGUCGGAAUCGCUAGUAAUCGCGAGUCAGCAUAUCGCGGUGAAUACGUUCCCGGGUCUU